AUACUUUUUACAAGUCUGAAAUGGCACCCCUAAGGUUAAAACGGUCCAAAGUGUGGCUUCAUUUCACAUUACAUAAGGAUGGCAACAGGGCGUUUUGCAACCACUGCAAAUUGUUGAUAACAUCGGCGGGAGGGAAUACUUCAAAUAUGCAUAAACAUCUGCGCACACAACACGGGAUAAACUUUAACGAGUGUCGCGUUUUUGAUGCCCUUCGGAGUGACAGCAGCCAAGCUUCUACGACCACCGUGACCUUGGGGGCUAACACCGAAGGCAACUCUGGUGAUUUAGAACAAGAUGAUGACCGGGACGAGACGGGUAGUCUGGCUGACUCAGAGGCUAGCAGCACUUGCUCCCGUUUACCUCUGGCUUCUAUUUUCGUCGAGGCAGGCAGAAAUAAAAUGUCCCAGGCAAAGGUAGAAGAAUGUCACCGGGCAGUUACCAAAUUUGUUGUUAAGGGUUUGCACCCAUUUUCUACAGUAGACGCCCCUGAAUUUCGGUAGGUGAAUGUGAGGUUGUUGUCAGAUUAUCAAAUGUCAGAUUAGAAUAGAAUAGAAUAGAAUAUUUUCCUCCUCAUUAAACAGAUGUUUACACUCAUUCAUUUUCAUAUGUUUUCUAGGGAGAUGACAAAGGUUCUCAAUCCAAAAUACAAAGCCCCCAGCAGGGAAAGCUUAACCAACCACUUAAUCCCUGCUUGGUAUGGUGUGGAAAAGGGAAAUGUGAUCUCUGAACUGAAAACAGUGUCAAAGGCAGCUAUCACGGCUGAUGGGUGGACAAGCUUUUGUCAGGAUCAUUAUCUCACGGUUACUCUGCACUACGUGAGCAAUGGCCAGAGCUGCCCAAGCACAUGCUCCUCCUGGAUGUAAGGACCAGAUGGAAUUCCCUCUAUUUGAUGAUGGAGAGAUUCACCGAGCAGUUCCCUGCUAUCCAGGCUGCAGCCAUAGAUCCACGCAUAAGAAGGCCCAUGGAGAAGGAAAGGUUGGACAGAAUAGGCA